AGCGAACGCUGGCGGCAGGCCUAAAACAUGCAAGUCGAACGCCGUAGCAAUACGGAGUGGCAGACGGGUGAGUAACACGUGGGAACGUGCCUUUUGGUUCGGAACAACUGAGGGAAACUUCAGCUAAUACCGGAUAAGCCCUUACGGGGAAAGAUUUAUCGCCAAAAGAUCGGCCCGCGUCUGAUUAGCUAGUUGGUGAGGUAACGGCUCACCAAGGCUACGAUCAGUAGCUGGUCUGAGAGGAUGAUCAGCCACACUGGGACUGAGACACGGCCCAGACUCCUACGGGAGGCAGCAGUUAGGAAUCUUGGACAAUGGGCGCAAGCCUGAUCCAGCCAUGCCGCGUGAGUGAUGAAGGCCUUAGGGUUGUAAAGCUCUUUCAGCGGGGAAGAUAAUGACGGUACCCGCAGAAGAAGCCCCGGCUAACUUCGUGCCAGCAGCCGCCGUAAG
rnacentral:rRNA from 1 species